rnacentral:rRNA from 1 species
GGGCAGCAUGAUUGAAGCUUGCUUCAAUCGAUGGCGACCGGGCGCACGGGUGAGUAACACGUUAUCCAACCUGCCGAUAACUCGGGGAUAGCCUUUCGAAAGAAAGAUUAAUACCCGAUAGCAUAGUAUUUCCGCAUGGUUUCACUAUUAAAGAAUUUCGGUUAUCGAUGGGGAUGCGUUCCAUUAGAUAGUUGGCGGGGUAACGGCCCACCAAGUCAACGAUGGAUAGGGGUUCUGAGAGGAAGGUCCCCCACAUUGGAACUGAGACACGGUCCAAACUCCUACGGGAGGCAGCAGUGAGGAAUAUUGGUCAAUGGACGAGAGUCUGAACCAGCCAAGUAGCGUGAAGGAUGACUGCCCUAUGGGUUGUAAACUUCUUUUAUACGGGAAUAAAGUGGAGUAUGCAUACUCCUUUGUAUGUACCGUAUGAAUAAGGAUCGGCUAACUCCGUGCCAGCAGCCGCGGUAAUACGGAGGAUCCGAGCGUUAUCCGGAUUUAUUGGGUUUAAAGGGAGCGUAGGCGGGUGCUUAAGUCAGUUGUGAAAGUUUGCGGCUCAACCGUAAAAUUGCAGUUGAUACUGGGCGCCUUGAGUGCAGCAUAGGUAGGCGGAAUUCGUGGUGUAGCGGUGAAAUGCUUAGAUAUCACGAAGAACUCCGAUUGCGAAGGCAGCUUACUGGACUGUAACUGACGCUGAUGCUCGAAAGUGUGGGUAUCAAACAGGAUUAGAUACCCUGGUAGUCCACACAGUAAACGAUGAAUACUCGCUGUAGGCGAUACACAGUCAGCGGCCCCCCGAAAGCAUUAAGUAUUCCACCUGGGGAGUACGCCGGCAACGGUGAAACUCAAAGGAAUUGACGGGGGCCCGCACAAGCGGAGGAACAUGUGGUUUAAUUCGAUGAUACGCGAGGAACCUUACCCGGGCUUAAAUUGCAGCGGAAUGUAGUGGAAACAUUACAGCCUUCGGGCCGCUGCGAAGGUGCUGCAUGGUUGUCGUCAGCUCGUGCCGUGAGGUGUCGGCUUAAGUGCCAUAACGAGCGCAACCCUUAUCUAUAGUUACUAUCAGGUCAUGCUGAGGCCUCUAUGGAGACUGCCGUCGUAAGAUGUGAGGAAGGUGGGGAUGACGUCAAAUCAGCACGGCCCUUACGUCCGGGGCUACACACGUGUUACAAUGGGGGGUACAGAAGGCAGCUACCUGGCGACAGGAUGCUAAUCCCAAAAACCUCUCUCAGUUCGGAUUGGAGUCUGCAACCCGACUCCAUGAAGCUGGAUUCGCUAGUAAUCGCGCAUCAGCCACGGCGCGGUGAAUACGUUCCCGGGCCUUGCACACACGCCCGUCAAG